GUUCUGCGUGGACAACGGGGCGAUGAUCGCUCAGGCCGGAUGGGAGAUGCUGCGCAGCGGGCAGAUAACGGACAUCCGGGACUCCGGCAUCACGCAGAGGUACCGCACGGAUGAGGUGGAGGUCACGUGGAGGGACUGACCUUUGAACUUUGAACUUUGAACUUUGAACUUUGACUCCCAAUGAAGCUCGGCUUCCUCCCCCCCCUCCCUAAUCCCAAA